GACGAACGCUGGCGGCGUGCCUAAUACAUGCAAGUAGAACGCUGAAGGAGGAACUUGCUUCUCUGGAUGAGUUGCGAACGGGUGAGUAACACGCAGGUAACCUGCCUGGAAGCGGGGGAUAACUAUUGGAAACGAUAGCUAAUAUCGCAUAAGAGUAGAUGUUGCAUGACAUUUGCUUAAAAGAUGCAAUUUUAUCACUACCAGAUGGACCUCCGUCGUCUUAGUUAGUUGGUGGGGUAACGGCUCAACAACGCGACGAUACAUAGCCGGCCUGGGAGGGGGGUCGGCCAAACUGGGAAUGAGAAACGGCCCCGACUCCUAAGGGGGGCAGCAGUAAGGGAUCUUCGGCAAUGGACGGAAGUCUGACCGAGCCACGCCGCGGGAGUGAAGAAAGGUUUCGGAUCGGAAAGCUCCGUUGUAAGAGGAGAAAGAGUGUGAGAGUUGAAAGUUCACACUGUGACGGUAUCUUACCAGAAAGCGACGGCUAACUACGUG
rnacentral:rRNA from 1 species